GUUGACCUACGGGACGCAGCAGUGGGGAAUAUUGCACAAUGGGGGAAACCCUGAUGCAGCAACGCCGCGUGAGUGAAGAAGGUUUUCGGAUUGUAAAGCUCUGUUAGCAGGGAAGAGGAAGGACGGUACCUGCAGAGGAAGCCACGGCUAACUACGUGCCAGCAGCCGCGGUAAUACGUAGGGGGCAAGCGUUAUCCGGAUUUACUGGGUGUAAAGGGAGCGUAGACGGCAGCGCAAGUCUGGAGUGAAAUGCCGGGGCUCAACCCCGGAACUGCUUUGGAAACUGUGCAGCUAGAGUGCGGGAG
rnacentral:rRNA from 1 species